rnacentral:rRNA from 1 species
UACGAAGGGUGCAAACGUUGCUCGGAAUCAUUGGGCGUAAAGCGCACGUAGGCGGCCUCGCAAGUCUGAUGUGAAAUCCCUCGGCUCAACCGAGGACGUGCAUCGGAAACUGCGGGGCUUGAGUACUGAAGAGGAUCGCGGAAUUCCCGGUGUAGAGGUGAAAUUCGUAGAUAUCGGGAGGAACACCAGUGGCGAAGGCGGCGAUCUGGGCAGAUACUGACGCUGAGGCGCGAAAGCUAGGGUAGCGAACGGG